rnacentral:rRNA from 1 species
AGUGAACGCUGGCGGUAGGCCUAACACAUGCAAGUCGAACGGCAGCACAGUAAGAGCUUGCUCUUACGGGUGGCGAGUGGCGGACGGGUGAGGAAUACCUCGGAAUCUACUUUUUCGUGGGGGAUAACGUAGGGAAACUUACGCUAAUACCGCAUACGUCCUACGGGUGAAAGCUGGGGAUCUUCGGACCUUGCGCGAUUGAAUGAGCCGCUGUCGGAUUAGCUAGUUGGCGGGGUAAAGGCCCACCAAGGCGACGAUCCGUAGCUGGUCUGAGAGGAUGAUCAGCCACACUGGAACUGAGACACGGUCCAGACUCCUACGGGAGGCAGCAGUGGGGAAUAUUGGACAAUGGGCGCAAGCCUGAUCCAGCCAUACCGCGUGGGUGAAGAAGGCCUUCGGGUUGUAAAGCCCUUUUGUUGGGAAAGAAAAGCAGCAGGUUAAUACCCCGCUGUUCUGACGGUACCCAAAGAAUAAGCACCGGCUAACUUCGUG